rnacentral:rRNA from 1 species
AAACCUAUAUUUUAGAUGCUUCGGCGGUCGUCGUCCUCUCCUGGGGGCCCGCCGCCGGGGUUUCCAGACUCUGAUUUUUGUCAUGUUUCCUCUGAGUGGUCUAAGCAAAUAAUCAAAACUUUUAACAACGGAUCUCUUGGUUCUGGCAUCGAUGAAGAACGCAGCGAAAUGCGAUAAGUAAUGUGAAUUGCAGAAUUCAGUGAAUCAUCGAAUCUUUGAACGCACAUUGCGCCCGCCAGUAUUCUGGCGGGCAUGCCUGUUCGAGCGUCAUUUCAACCCUCAAGCCCUGCUUGGUGUUGGGACGCUACGGCCCACCGGCCGUAGGUCCUCAAAUUCAGUGGCGGACUCGCUGAAGCCCUCCUUGCGUAGUAGUUUUCUCAACCUCGCAUCGUGGCCCGGCGUGCUAUCCAGCCGUGAAAAGCCCCCCUUCUCCAAAGGUUGACCUCGGAUCAGGUAGGAAUACCCGCUGAACUUAAGCAUAUCAAUAAGCGGAGGA